rnacentral:rRNA from 1 species
UACGUAGGUGGCAAGCGUUGUCCGGAUUUACUGGGCGUAAAGGGCGCGUAGGCGGCCACCGCAAGUCGACUGUGAAAUCUCCGGGCUUAACUCGGAAAGGUCAGCCGAUACUGCGGGGCUAGAGUGCAGAAGGGGCAACUGGAAUUCUCGGUGUAGCGGUGAAAUGCGUAGAGAUGUGGAGGAACACCAGUGGCGAAGGCGGCUUUCUGGUCUGUAACUGACGCUGAGGCGCGAAAGCGUGGGGAGCAAACAGG